rnacentral:rRNA from 1 species
AUUGAACGCUGGCGGCAGGCCUAACACAUGCAAGUCGAACGAUUGGCGGACUGGUGAGUAAUGUCUGGGAAACUGCCUGAUGGAGGGGGCUAACUACUGGAAACGGUAGCUAAUACCGCAUACCAUCAGAUGUGCCCAGAUGUGAUUAGCUUGUUGGUGGGGUAACGGCUAACCAAGGCGAAGAUCCCUAGCUGGUCCGAGAGGAUUACCAGCCACACUGGAACUGAGACACGGUCAAGACGCCUACGGGAGGCAGCAGUGGGGAAUAUUGCACAAGGGGCGCAAGCCUGAUGGAGCCAUGCCGCGUGUAUGAAGAAGGCUUUCGGGUUGUAAAGUACUUUCAGCGGAGAGGCGUUACCCGCAGAAGAAGCACCGGCUAACUCCGUGCCAGCAGCCGCGGUAAUAC